AGUGCGUUGCCUCUUGGGAUUCCUGAGAGUAUG
rnacentral:rRNA from 2 species